rnacentral:rRNA from 1 species
UUGUUAGUUGCCAUCAUUCAUUGGGCACUCUAGCGAGACUGCCGGUAAUAAACCGGAGGAAGGUGGGGAUGACGUCAAAUCAUCAUGCCCCUUAUGACCUGGGCUACACACGUGCUACAAUGGUUGGUACAACGAGUUGCGAGUCGGUGACGGCGAGCUAAUCUCUUAAAGCCAAUCUCAGUUCGGAUUGUAGGCUGCAACUCGCCUACAUGAAGUCGGAAUCGCUAGUAAUCCGCGGACUCAGCACGCCGCGUCGAUACGUUCCGGGCCUU